rnacentral:tRNA from 1 species
GGAGAAAAUAGGCAUAGACUGGGGCUGCUAACUUCAUUCUGGGUGAAUCAUUUUCAUCCUUUCUCCU